CAACAACGCUGACGGAAUUUGUCCGGUAUUUUGCUUGAUCAUUCAGUAAAAUACGUGUCAUAGUCAUGUUUGAAUCAUAAUCGAUCGAUUUUGACGAAGCUCGGUGGGCUCACCUUAUCCAGUAAAGCGAUAGCCAAAAAUGAUAGCGAGAGUGACGUAAGCGAUCACCAACGUAUUCUUCAGACUGUUCUACAUAUGUAACCGCUCCUCUAAAUGACGACCCAACAACUACAUUCCGCAUGAGGUCUGGACAGCCCAUCUAUAACGAACGCUAUACCUUAUGAAGCAACCACCUCUGCUCUUCGAAAAUUGUAUAGUCUGAUUUUACUCAGCUUAUAUUACAACCUGCACUGGCUUUCGGAAUUUCGUGUCAACGUUUUUGUGAACUGAUAUUUAUUUAUUAAACGAAUGCGGUUUUUUUUAUAUUUACUGUAAGAUUGUGUGCUUCGCUGUCUGCCUUUUUGUAAUCAGGAAAAAAAAUAAGUUACAGCUUUCUAACCUACUUCCGCUCUCAAUAAUAAUCAA
rnacentral:lncRNA from 1 species